UACGUAGGUGGCAAGCGUUGUCCGGAUUUACUGGGCGUAAAGAGCGCGCAGGCGGUCGUGCAAGUCGCGUGUGAAAGCCCCCGGCUCAACUGGGGAGGGUCACGCGAUACUGCUCGACUCGAAGGCAGGAGAGGGAAGUGGAAUUCCCGGUGUAGUGGUGAAAUGCGUAGAUAUCUGGAGGAACACCGGUGGCGAAGGCGGCAUCCUGGACCGAGAUUGACGCUGAUGCGCGAAAGCUAGGGGAGCAAACGGG
rnacentral:rRNA from 1 species